AACGUAGGUUCCGAGCGUUAUCCGGAUUUACUGGGCGUAAAGCGCGUUCAGGCGGUUGGGCAAGUCGGGCAUGAAAUCUCUGGGCUCAACCUGGAGAGGUUGUCCGAUACUGCCGAACUGGAGGGCAGUAGAGGGUGGUGGAAUUCCGGGUGUAGUGGUGGAAUGCGUAGAGAUCCGGAGGAACACCAGCGGCGAAGGCGGCAUCCUGGACUGGUCCUGACACUCAGGAGCGAAAGCGUGGGGAGCGAUCCGG
rnacentral:rRNA from 1 species